UUUUGACAUCUUCUGAUGAAAGCCUUCUUAUAAAGUGAUUUAUUUUCUUGCAAAGAAGCCAUGACUUGAGGCAGUGGAUCCAAAGUAUGCUUCAUUUCUUCUAAUCUAUCAAUAGUAAAAUGAUUUACAUUUAUGCUUUUGUGGAACUAAAUUUAUCAACAGGCUUCUUUUUUUUUUUUUCAGGGAAGAGGCAGGAAAGACCUAUGAGGUUAGUACCUAAGCAUUAUUGCUUCCAGUUUUCUAUUUGCCAUCAGCUCAAAUUCAUAUGUUAUAUGUGGAAGCUCCAUAAGUUUUAGGGACUUAGAAUCUGACUUGUUUAACUCCAUAUUGUGAAGUUCUAAGAUGGAUGACUUCUUUAUUUUGCAUUCCUGCAAUCUGUGUAAUCCUAAGUCAUUUAUAGAGCAAUAAUCUUCCAUUGUCUCCUUGAAGACAACAUGAUAUAUAUCAUCUUUAAUUUUGGCUUCAAUAUGGUUACUUUUCAUGGUUUCAUCCAACUGAUUGAACAUAUUCCUGAUGAGAUCUCUGCAUAUUCCAUCUGAAAUCAGGAUCUCCAAUUCCCAGGUACUUAAAUCAUCACAAAACUUUUCUCUCAACCCUUGAAAUAAAGCGAUGUAAGUUUCUUCCUUCAUUAUGUUUUGAAAUUCUCUUUCCUCUCUUUCUUGCCUUAGCGCGCAAAUUUGAUUUUGUAUUCCGCUGUUUUCUUCAUCCUGCAGUUGAUGCAUCUUCCCCCAGACAUCUGCCAAAGUAUCCACAUCAGAUUUCUGUCUAUGAUUUUCUACAAAUAUUUGCUCCCCUUUCUCUGGAGGUAUGUCUUCUUCAUUAAAAUCCUCAUUUUGGUCUAUAAUUUUGUUAACCGUAGCAUUCAAAAUCAUCGAAUUCUCUAGUUUCUCUAGUAUUUCUUGGAACCUUCUUUUGAAGCUUUCAGUACUUUCUUCUCUCCUUAAUGAUAAUGAAGUUUUAUCAUGAAGCUUUUCUGGAUUCCAUUGAUCCGGUUCUGCUUCUUUACUCUUUUUCUUAAUAAUUGACUCAAAAUUCAAAAUGUUGCACUCUCGGGACCGCAUUUCAUUUUGGCCAAGAACAGGUUUGAGAUCCUCAAACAAGCCUAUAACUUCAUUCAUUAAAUCCGACCACCAUUUGUUUGCCGAAACUUGCCUCUCUUUCCUUGUCACUUCUGCUUCUAUAUCCUCUUGACAAUCAUUCACAAAUCCCUUAAGCAGGAUUGAUAUUAUGUCGUUCUCAAUACUUGACUUUACUUGCUGCUCUAUUGCUCCUAUUUCAGAAAUCAAAAUGGCACUGUGCAUCUUUCCAAACGCAAUAUCAAGAGUUUCCUUCAAAAUAUCGAUGUCAGAUCCCAUCUCUUCAACUCUUAUUACGUCGUUGAUACAACGAUUUCGUUUGGUCUUCACCUUAUGCUCAUAAUCAUCAUUUAACUCGAUUUUUUCUUUCACUUCACCCAAUUCCCCAUCUCUAUUCUCAUCAUCCUCACCUUCAUGUGGGCUAAGGUUGGAACUUCCAGCACUUCUUGAUCUUUCAAGUUCAAGAUCUUCCUGUGAAGAAACCAAUUCCCUCUCUGUAAUUUCCAAAGCCUGCCUUAACUUCACCUCGCUCUCGGAUCGAUCUGCCAACUCUCUAUCUUUCUGUAGGAUGGCAAGUUCCGAUUCGUAGAGGCGUCGUUGAAGGCGGUUUCGUAUUUCGGCCAAGCCAGCAAGAACUUCUUCAUGGCUGGUUUCGGGAUUGUGAGUGUCAGUUUCUUCUUGAACAAAUUUGAUACAACCAUCCAAUUGCAUUACGGAUAACUCGUAGAAUUUUGAUAUCUCAUGUAAUCUCUCUAUAACUCCUUCUCUAGAUUUGACUCUUUGGUGAGCUUUAUCCAUUGCACGAUGCACAAUCAACAUCAUGGUUGAAUCUACUAUUGACAGUUUGAAACUGCCAUCGAUCAUUCCAAAAAUUCCAUCCAUGUUUAAUUUCCUCUCUUGAAAAUGAAGGCUACGAAGAGGAAAAAAAAAGACGGUAUGUCAAAUUAAUUCUAAAGUACGUCAAAUUAGUUCUAAGGCAUUGUUCAUAUGUUGGCUUAAUAUGUGGAUUGCAUUGACAUUAGGGAGUUCUUGGGAAUAGGCGAAUUGGAAGGAUUGAGAUCCUUCAACUUAGCUUUAGAGAAACAAAUGGUAGGAAAGGCGAAGCAACCCUUUGACUAUUUAGGGCAUGUUUGGAAUUGAUUUUAAAUUGAUUAAAAUCUAUUUUCAAAAUUGCUUUUAAAUUAUUUAAAAAUUAAUAUUAAGUUGAUUUUGAUUGGCUAAAAACUUAUUUCCAAAUGUUUUUAAGCACACAAAAGUGAAUUUAACCGUUUUAAAAUAGAAUUUGUCUUUGAUAACUAAUUUUAUUUUGUUUAUCUAAAGUGUUAUUUUUUUAAAUGAUUUUUUUUGUUGAAAAAUGAAUUUUCAAACAUUGUAAUAUUUAUUAGGUAAAUACGUUUAAGUUUCAUUUUUUUAGAUUAAUUUUCAUAAAUAUAACGAAACACCAAAAUAUUCGGUAACAAAAAAACAUGAAAUCGAUCAUUUUUUUAAAACUUUAGAUUAAAAAUCAUGAAAUGGGUCAUUUUUACUCUUUCCUUUCCAUCUUCUUUCUUCCCUCCUUUCCAUCAAUUUCAAUUUUAAAUGUUGUAUUUUUUUUAGUGUUAUUUGGUUUUUACCAUUUUCAUCAUCGUGUACCAAAUAUAAAAACAUCAAUUGUUUCGUUUAGAUUUGCUAUCUAAAUGUAAUGAAAGAAUCUUGAAAUCUCAAAUCUAAACUCACAAAAAUCUUUUAAAAAAUCGUUUAACCAAAUCUAAACGAUUUAUCAAGAAUCUUGAAAAAAAUCAUUGUGUAGUAAAUAUAUUGUCGGUCAAUUAAUCCCACUCUUCAUUGUUUUCGAAAUUAGCUUGUUUUGAUAUUUGUAAAAGAGUGAUAAAUUGUGUUAAACACUAUUUGUCUAUUUAAAUAUUUUCAAAUAGCAAAUUGACCAUAAAAUUAUUUGGUCCCUUUGCUAUAUUUAUUUCAAUAAAUAAGUUGGUAUAUAUAUAUAUAUAUAUGAAAAUAGGAAAACAAAAAAAAAAAGUACAUUUAGAUUUUUAAAAAAUUACUAGAAAACAGCUGUUUAAUUGGCUGUUUCGACAUAAAGUACUAAAAGGCAGCCGGCUAAGCAGAGCAAAAAUUUGAUCUGCUCUGGCUAUUAAUAAUCUUUGUUCGAUAAAAGUAAAGUUGUGAAUGCUAAUUUGUAUAUUUGUAUGAACAAUAUGUUGCACAAAUAUUAAAAACCAAACAAGAUUUUGCCCAAGAAAAUAUGCCAUGAAAUUAAACAUUGUUAUUAACGUUCAAACUUCCAUAGGUUUUCUUCACAAAAUAAUCCUCAAUUGGAAACAAACAAAACAAGACAGCCAUAAAAUUAGAAGGCUUCUCACGAUAAUCAUCAAUGUGAAAAGUGUAUAUAUGUAUAUGUAGGUUUGUGUAUAUGUGCACCUUAAUCAUACUUAGGACUCAUGGCUAAAAGGUUUACAAUUUUUGCUUUUAUUUUUAUUCUUGUGUUUCUUCAUGUCACAAAUUUGACUUUUGCACAAGAUGCAUCUCCUCCGCCACCAUCCAACACCACUGAUGCUCCACCGCCGCCGCCGCCAUCCAACGCCACUGACGCUCCACCUCCACCGCCACCAUCCAAUGCCACGGACGCUCCACCUCCA
rnacentral:lncRNA from 1 species